rnacentral:rRNA from 1 species
AGUUCCAUGGAGCUGCGUAGCGCUUACCUGGUCUUGACAUCCACGGAAGUUUCCAGAGAUGGAAAGGUGCCUUCGGGAACUGUGAGACAGGUGCUGCAUGGCUGUCGUCAGCUCGUGUUGUGAAAUGUUGGGUUAAGUCCCGCAACGAGCGCAACCCUUAUCCUUUGUUGCCAGCGGUCCGGCCGGGAACUCAAAGGAGACUGCCAGUGAUAAACUGGAGGAAGGUGGGGAUGACGUCAAGUCAUCAUGGCCCUUACGACCAGGGCUACACACGUGCUACAAUGGCGCAUACAAAGAGAAGCGACCUCGCGAGAGCAAGCGGACCUCAUAAAGUGCGUCGUAGUCCGGAUUGGAGUCUGCAACUCGACUCCAUGAAGUCGGAAUCGCUAGUAAUCGUGGAUCAGAAUGCCACGGUGAAUAAUUUCCCGGGCAA